UGAAAUGUCUGUGUUGUAAUGCAUUCCAUGAUAUCAUAUGUUUUAAAUGCUAUGUUUUAUUAUUCUGCUCACUGGGCUCUAGUAGCUCACCCCUCUCCCUUAACCCCCAGGUAUGCAGGUACAGGGUAGACCAGGAGGUCAGCAAGAGUAAUGAAGUCAUGGUCUUGUAAUAGCUAGUGUGGACAUGAUAAAUGAUGAUAUGUUAUGUUGAGUACAGUUAUGUAAAAGUAUAGUAUAAAAAUGUAAUGUAAUGAGGUCUAUUGAGGUUCAUAGUUGUGCUUGACCCUAGUAUGUUGUUAAUCCCUUUGAGUACAUGAUUUUAAUGAUGUUUAUGUAACCAAACUCAAUAUAUGUGAUGUUACCCCUUUGGAGCAUUGUUGAGGACUCCAGUGUGGGUUAAUGUUUAUGAUUAUGUUUAUGUCUAGUGCAUGCACAGGUUGAGUUUGGUGAAUGAAUGAAAGAAUGAAUGAAUGUAAGGAAAAGCUCAAAAUUUUUAUGUAUGUGUUGAUCAUGUAUGGGAUUAAAUAGGUUCACAGGAUGAAUGUUAGGCUUGCUACGGGUCCCGGCGGCCUUAUGCCGAUCUGGAUCCUAGCCCCGGUAGCGGUUCGGAUUUUCGGGUCGUUACAGAUUGGUAUCAGAACCCUAGGUUCAUAUGGUCGGACCUAGAGUGUCGGGCUCAUAGAUGUUCUAGAAGGUCAAGCACAAUAGGAAGAUCAUGUCCACUAGGAUAGGAUGUAGAGUCCUGUCUUGAUUGAUGAUGUGAAAUGCCAUGAUUCUAUGCAUGUGCAUUAAUGAUAUGCUAUGUAUGUGAUGUAUGUGAUGCGGGUUCAUGUGUUUGCACAUAAACCAUUUGAUGCUAAUGUUCUAUGUGAUGUGUGCUGUUUUUCAGUAAACAGGAUGAGAGGAACUCAUCGAUCUACACGAUUGACUGGAGUACCACCCCAGGACGAGGGCACUGAUGCCCGUCCUCCUGCAUUGCCAAGGGCAAUGUCUAGUAGGUCCAGCAGAGAAAGUGCAGUAAGAGACCCUAGAAGGUCUUUGGAUCUGGGUAGAAGCAGAUCAGUGAGGGGAACAGUGCAAGGGGAUAUGUCAGAGGAUGUGGGGGAUCAGAUGGAUGUGGAUCAGAUGGAUGUGGAUCAGAGGAGGGAUGGCAGUCUCGGAGUAAGUAUGUCGGAAGAGGGAAUGGGAGAGUCCCAAGGAGGCACUCAGGCCUCGGGAUUUGUUCAGCCACCUUAUUACCCACCCUUUUCACACCAUCCCGAGUAUUCGAUGGGAGGUACAUCGGAUUACCCUAGUUUUAACCCUUAUCACUCUCAGAUGCCAUACCUACCUUUCUACCCACCGUACUCACAGUACCCUAUGUACCCACCCCCAUCUUUCUAUCCAGGUACAGCAAACCCUACCCCAGGGCGCUGCACCUCCUCCACCACCAGCAGCACCUACUGUCCCAGAAACCCAAAUGCCUAAACCUAGCUCAUCUGGGGGGAGCAAGGUCAAGAUGACCGAUUACAUGAAGUUGGGUGCUCCCCAGUUUGAUACUGGUGAUGACCUUUUUGUGUACCUUAAGAGGGUCAAGACAAUUACAGAUGAGAUAGGAGCUGAUGACAAUAGGGCCAUUCAGAUGGCUGGGUUCACCUUAAAAUGCAAGAAGGCCCGAGAGUGGUUUAAGAACUAUGUGAACCCGAGGUUGGAUAGUCUAUCCUAGGAGGAGUUUUCCAAUGAGUUUGCAGGAUGGGCUUUCCCUGACAGUUCCAGGGAGCUGAAAAUGAUUGAAUUUGAGCAGUUGAGGCAGACAGAUGAGAUGAGCGUGGAUGAGUAUACAGACAGAUUCUUGGAGCUGUUGUUGUAUGCUGGGCAGAAUCUGGACACAGAUCAGAGGAAGUCAAUGAGGUAUAUCAUGAGGCUCCAUUCCAGGUAUUCCUCCUUGAUUCAGUCAGCAGAGAGGGAUAGUUUCCAUGCCAUAGUGGAUAUGGCUCGGAGGAUGGAGGCUAGUGCUAUCAUCGAAGGGAAAGUCAAGCAGUCUGUGGCACAGCCUUCUGGUUCCAAGACCCCAGGAGGGGGUAGGUUAGACCCUUCUUCUCUGAGUUCAGGCAGUAAGAAGUGGGACAGAGGCUCCCGAAAGUCCAAGAAGAACAAGUUCUGGAGCAAGAUCAAGUCAGGUCUGGGAUUAGGAAGUGGCUCGAGCUCGGGUGCAGGUAUUACAGCAUGUAUGAAGUGUGGGAAGCCGCACAAGGGAGUAUGUCUGGUUGGGACGACAGCCUGCUUCAGAUGUGGGCAGGAGGGACACAUGGCUCGGGAGUGUCCUAGAGUAGCUUCUAUGGCACAGUCUCAGCAGACAGCUUCUGGUAGUGUGGCUCAGCCAGCAGCUCCAGCCGCGACUCAGGCUAGUGGCAGAGGCAGAGGAAGAGGGGCAGCCUCUUCUUCAGCGGGUUUUAGAGGUGAAGGCCCAUCAGCCCCAGCACGGAUCUUCACCAUGACUCAGCAGGAGGCAAACACAUCCAACACCGUGGUGUCAGGUAAUCUCAUCAUUGGUUGUUCUGAUGUGUAUGCAUUAAUGGACCCUGGUGCAUCGCAUUCUUUCAUUGCUCCGAGGGCCGUCGAGAGGUUAGGAUUGAUGGUCUUUGGGUUAGAGUGUCCCCUAUGGGUCAGUGGACCUAAGUAUGAUCCGUCAGUGGCAGAGUCAGUCUGCUAGUGUAGUCCAGUUUUUGUGGAGGGAAGAUGCCUGUCCGCUGACCUUGUGGUUCUAGAUUUGACAGAUUUUGACGUCAUUCUAGGGAUGGAUUGGCUAUCUACCCAUGGUGCUACCUUGGACUGCAGAGACAAGGUAGUUAAGUUCAGAUGUCAGGAUGGGUCAGAGGUUGUCUUCAGAGGAGACAGAGGCAGUACACCUAGAGGUUUAAUAUCAGCCCUUCAGGCUCGUAGGCUGCUCAGGAGGGGUUGUCAGGGUUUUCUAGCUCAUGUGAGAGAGCUGGAUAGUCAUGUUAGAGAGUCCGCCUCAGUGCCCGUGGUCAGUGAGUUUUUAGAUGUGUUCCCAGACGAGCUGCCAGAUUUACCGCCUGCUAGGGAGAUAGAGUUCGAAAUUGAGUUGAUGCCUGGAACCAGACCGAUCUCUAUCCCUCCCUACAGGAUGGCACCAGCAGAAUUGAAGGAGUUGAAAGAGCAGUUGCAAGAGCUGGUAGAUAGGGGUUUCAUCCGACCGAGUACCUCACCUUGGGGUGCUCCAGUGUUAUUUGUGAAAAAGAAGGAUGGAUCCCUCAGACUCUGUAUCGACUACAGGCAGUUGAACAAGGUCACUACCAAGAAUAAGUACCCGUUGCCAAGGAUCGACGAUCUAUUUGACCAGCUAGCCGGAGCAGGUUGUUUCUCCAAAAUAGAUCUGAGAUCGGGGUACCAUCAGCUAAGGAUAAGAGAAGAGGAUGUGCCGAAGACAGCCUUCAGGACUAGAUAUGGGCAUUAUGAGUUCCUUGUGAUGCCGUUCGGGUUAACCAAUGCCCCUGCAACAUUCAUGGAUCUCAUGAACAGAGUUUUCAGUCAAUACCUGGAUCACUUCGUUAUUGUCUUCAUAGAUGAUAUCUUAGUGUAUUCCAGGAAUGCAGAGGAGCAUGCCCAUCAUUUGAGGUUGGUUUUGCAGACCUUGAGGGAACAUGGCUUGUAUGCCAAGUUCUCCAAGUGUGAGUUCUGGCUGAGGAGCAUCUCUUUCUUGGGGCAUGUGGUGUCAGAAAAUGGAAUCGAGGUAAACCCCAAGAAAGUGGAAGCUGUAGCAAACUGGCCUAGACCCACUACAGUGACAGAGAUCAAAAGCUUCUUGGGUUUGGCAGGUUACUACAGGAGGUUCGUUCAGGACUUCUCUAAGAUUGCAGCUCCCAUGACCAGAUUGACUAAGAAGAACCAGAGGUUUGUGUGGACCGACCAGUGUGAAGAGAGCUUUGAGGAGCUCAAGAAGAGGUUGACUUCAGCACCAGUGUUAGCCCUGCCACCUAGUAAUGAAGACUUCUCAGUGUAUUGUGAUGCGUCCCGUGUGGGACUGGGUUGUGUGCUAAUGCAGAAUGAAAGGGUGAUUGCUUAUGCUUCUAGGCAGCUGAAGAAGCACGAGUUGAAUUACCCUACACAUGACCUAGAGAUGGCAGCGGUAAUCUUUGCACUCAAGAUGUGGAGGCAUUACCUUUAUGGGGUAAAAUGUGAGAUCUUCACAGAUCAUAAGAGCCUGCAGUACAUCCUGAGUCAGAGAGAACUGAAUUUGAGGCAGAGGAGAUGGGUAAAACUGCUCAGUGACUAUGAUUGCAAGAUCCAGUACCAUCCGGGUAAGGCGAAUGUUGUGGCAGACGCCUUAAGCCGGAAAUCACUUGGCAGUUUGUCCCAUAUUUCAGCAGAGAGGAGGCCAGUAGUGAGGGAGUUCUUCGAGCUCAUGAAUGAAGGUCUACAGUUGGAGUUGUCUGGUACAGGUGCUUUGAUUGCCCAGAUGAGGGUGACAUCCGUGUUUCUGGAGCAGGUGGCUCAGAAACAGCAUGAGGACCCAGAGUUAGUGAAGAUUGCCAGGACUGUUCAGUCGGGCAAGGAUAGUGAGUUCAGAUUUGACAGUAAGGGGAUCCUCCGCUAUGGGAGCAAAUUGUGUGUACCAGAUGACGUAGGGCUGAAGGGAGACAUUAUGAGAGAGGCUCAUAAUGCCAGAUACAGUGUUCACCCUGGAGCCACCAAGAUGUAUCAAGAUCUGAAGAAAGUGUAUUGGUGGCCAGCUAUGAAGAAAGAAGUAGCACAGUUUGUGUCAGCCUGCGAAGUGUGUCAGAGGGUGAAGCUGGAACAUCAGAAGCCGGCUGGAAUGCUUAACCCACUACCUAUUCCAGAGUGAAAAUGGGAGAAUAUAGCUAUGGACUUCGUGGUGGGGCUACCGGCGGCGUCCAACAGAUUGGACUCCAUAUGGGUGAUUGUGGACAGACUGACCAAAUCUGCUCACUUCAUCCCUGUCAGGAGUGGCUAUUCUGUGGACAAGUUAGCGCAGGUGUAUGUUGAUGAGAUCGUCAGGCUGCAUGGAGUUCCUGUUUCAAUAGUGUCUGAUCGAGGGCCCCAGUUCACCUCCAGGUUUUGGCGGAGUCUGCAGAACGCUAUGGGUACUAGGUUGGAUUUUAGCACUGCUUUCCAUCCACAAACGGAUGGACAAUCAGAGAGGACCAUCCAGACAAUAGAGGAUAUGCUCAGAAUGUGUGUGCUGGACUUUGGCGGUUCUUGGAGGCAGCAUCUACCCUUGGUGGAGUUUGCCUACAAUAACAGCCAUCAUGCCAGCAUAGGGAUGGCCCCAUAUGAAGCUUUGUAUGGAAGGAAGUGCAGGUCGCCUGUCUGUUGGGAAGAAGUAGGAGAAAAGGCCUUGGCAGGGCCUGAGCUAGUAGAGAUCACCAGCAGAGUGGUGCCCAUAAUCAGAGAAAGAAUCAAGACUGCUGCAAGCAGACAGAAGAGUUAUGCAGACAUCCGCAGAAGGCAAGUAGAGUUUCAGGAGGGGGAUUUGGUAUUGCUCAAAGUGUCUCCAAUGAAAGGGGUGAUUCGGUUUGGGAAGAAAGGUAAGCUGGCUCCACGGUACAUUGGACCCUUUGAAGUCUUGCAAAAGAUUGGGAAUGUAUCGUACAAGCUGGACUUGCCUGCUUCAUUGGAAAGAAUCCACCCGAUUUUUCAUGUUUCUAUGUUAAGAAAGUUCGUGUCAGAUCCGGGCAAGGUUCUUAGUGAGCCUGAUAUGGAGAUCCAAGAGGAUCUCACCUAUGUUGAGCAGCCGGUACGGAUCCUAGACACCCAGAUCAGAAAGCUAAGGAACAAGGAAAUCCCGAUGGUGAAAGUCCUUUGGAAUCACAACAACAUUGAGGAGUGUACCUGGGAGACACGGGAGUCCAUGCUCCAGCAAUAUCCUCAUCUCUUUUAAGGUGAGUGUUAUGUGUUAUAUUUAUAUGUUUAUGUUUUAUGCUUUGUAUGAUCAUGUUUGAUGCCAUGCUAUAUUGUUUGGUGAACAUUCGGGGACAAAUGUUCUUAAGGGGGGAAGAAUGUAAUACCCGGCUAGACUCCGGUAUCGGAAUUCCUACCGUCCAGUGGAAUCUCGGAUGUCGGAAACCUCUAGAAGGGUAAAACCAUGUUUUUAUAAAAUAUUUUAAUGUAUUUUAUGGUUUUAAGCAAGAAAGAAAAUUAAGUUUUGAAAGAAAAUAGUCUUGAGAGGAAGACUCAGGUUCGGCCGCCGAACAUGCAUGCACUUCGGGAGUGCUUUAGGCCCCCGAAGGCAUAAGUGAGGGAAGUCCAGGUUCGGCCGCCGAACAUGGCAUGCAUGCGGAGGCACGUUAGGCCCCCAAAAGUGGCCUGGCCAGCCACCUAUAAAAGGGUCCCCUUAUCCGAAUGGGCAAACUUUUCUCCCCAUUUUCGGCCAAGGUGAGUUCUCCGCCGUCCCUCGCCGAUCUUGAGUCCUCUUCUUCAAAUCUUUCAUGAUUUUCAUGAGUUUUCACUUUGUUUUGAAGAUUUUGAGCAUUAAAGCAAGUUUUGAGGCUUGGAAGACUCAGGAGCCCUUUUCCUUGGUUCUCUAAGUUUAGGUCGUCUCUCUCUCAAUCAUCAAGAGGUAAGAGCCGAUCUUGAGCUUAUAGUAUGUUUUAAGUAAGUUUUAAGUUGAUUCAUGGGGUAGAAAUGCAUGUUUAGGAUAGUUGAGCUUUGUUAGGUUUUAUGUGAUUAUAUGGACAAUGUGUGUUGGAUAUGCUUGUUUGAUGUGUUGUAGUUGGGGUUUAGGAUAGUUUGAGACCCCUAGGUGUUGUUGUAAGUGUGUAUGCAUGCUUUGAGAGAAUUGGAUGCUUGAUUGGAAGGUUUGGGAGGAAAGUGUGCAAGGAAGAGCUGAGUUUCUGCCCUUUGGGAGAAACCAGGUUCGGCAGCCGAAAGGAUUUUUGGCCGCUGAACCUGUCUGUGAGGCAAGCCUUUCGGCUGCUGAAGCCUGCCCCCGAAAAUGGACUUUCGUCUCUGGAGGGCACUUUUGGCCGCCGAAGGUGUCGUCGAACCUGCAUGACUUUCGCCUCUAGAGGGGCUUUCGGUGCCGAACUUGCUGCCGAAAGUGCCCUGUUCAGCCUUCCUUUGCAUGUUUUCUAUGGAUGUUUUGAGGUGUCUGAAGGGGGUUUUUGGGGAGUAUUUUAGAGUCAUGUUCAUGUUUGUUAGGUCCCUCAUUUGAGUCCACCUGUGUAGGUUCGGACCCGAGGAACCGAGGACCCCAGCAGUGAGAUAGCUGCUUUUGAGUCUUGUCAGAGCUAACCAGAGGUGAGUGGAAUAACUCUCUAUGUUUUCAAAGCGAAUAAUGAAUGUUUUAGCAUGAUACACGCAUCAUAAAUGCCAUGAGAUAUAUUAGGGUGCUUGCAUUAGAAUUCACGAAUAUGUCGCAUUGCACAUUAUGUUGUUGAUGUGGAUGAAUGUUGAAUGAUCCAUUGGACCUUAUAUGGUAUGACAUGACAGACUAUGGAAGUCCGGGUGAGCCUGCACUACGCCCCCGGCAUGAUUGGAUAUGUAUGUUAUGCUAUGGAAGUCCAGGUGUGCCUGCACUAUGCCCCUGGCAUGAUUAGACUGUAUGGAGGACUAAGUGGUGACAAGUUCAUCCUUGAUGUGAAAUGUCUGUGUUGUGAUGCAUUCCAUGAUAUCAUAUGUUUUAAAUGCUAUGUUUUAUUAUUCUGUUCACUGGGCUCUAGUAGCUCACCCCUCUCCCUUAACCCCCAGGUAUGCAGGUACAGGGUAGACCAGGAGGUCAGCAAGAGUAAUGAAGUCAUGGUCUUGUAAUAGCUAGUGUGGACAUGAUAAAUGAUGAUAUGUUAUGUUGAGUAUAGUUAUGUAAAAGUAUAGUAUAAAAAUGUAAUGUAACGAGGUCUAUUGAGGUUCAUAGUUGUGCUUGACCCUAGUAUGUUGUUAAUCC
rnacentral:lncRNA from 1 species